GUAUAUGAACCAGAGAGUUAUUUACUUAUCUGCAGUAUGGGGAAAGUCAUCCUGUUGCAUAGAGCCAUUAAGGAGAUUAUGUGGAAUCAUGUAUGCAAGAGUCUUGCACAGUGUCUGCACAUGUCUGAGGAUCCUGUCUUUCUACUUGGUGUUGCUGGUAAUGAUUUCAGUGUUCGUUAGGAGAACUGGUGCUGUGAAUCAGAAACAAAGAGAAGAAACACAGAGACUUCAAAUGGCCAGGCCCAAUCAUUCAGGAUCAAGAUUGAAUGGGACUCUUGGAAGCUGGAUUGCUUUCCUGUGCUUCUGCUCACUUUCUGCCCAAGUCGGUACGCUACUGACUGCCAGAAAGCAACGAAUCAAGUGCAGUCUUCAAAUGUAGCUGUGUAAAUAGAAUAUGAGGUUUGGAGUUCGGUGAGUUUCCUAAUAUUCAAGGCCUAUUAACCAAUCAACAAGUACUUGCCGAGCCUCUGCUGUGCACUCAGUAUUUUGCUAAGUGCUCUGGGACAUAGGAGGCAUCUGAGAUGGAGUUCGAGUCCUCCAAGACAGUACGGCAAGAUGGCUUAAAGUUCAAUAAGUCUGAGUUUGAAUCUUAGCUGUCAACUUAAUAAGGUUGGUAACCUUCAACAAAUUAAACCACAUUUUAGAUACUCACUGUUACAGGGGGUUAAAAAUGCCUGGUUUACAAGGUUAGAAUUUCCAGUCUAGGUCUUUUAUCUGGCUCCAAACUUGAAUAUCCCACAGUCUCCUUGCUAUCUUCACCGGGUUAUCUUACAGAGUACAAAACACACAUGCCCAAAUGCUUUAUCUUUGCCUGGUCCAUCCCACCAAGAUCCUAGCUACAAAUUUUUCCCUCCAACAUUUUUCUCUCAAUAAAUGGCAUGCAAUAACUUUCUUUUAUUAUGUA
rnacentral:lncRNA from 13 species